GAUUGCUCAGUUGGUUAGAGUAUGGUGCUGAUAACACCAAGGUUACAGGUUCGAUCCCCAAGGAACA
rnacentral:tRNA from 1 species